UACGGGGGGGGUAAGCGUUGUUCGGAAUUACUGGGCGUAAAGGGCUCGUAGGCGGCCAACUAAGUCGGACGUGAAAUCCCUCAGCUUAACCGGGGAACUGCGUCCGAUACUGGAUGGCUUGGAUUCGGGAGAGGAAUGCGGAAUUCCAGGUGUAGCGGUGAAAUGCGUAGAUAUCUGGAGGAACACCGGUGGCGAAGGCGGCAUUCUGGACCGACAUUGACGCUGAGGAGCGAAAGCCAGGGGAGCAAACGGG
rnacentral:rRNA from 1 species